AUACGAAGGGGGCUAGCGUUGUUCGGAAUUACUGGGCGUAAAGCGCGCGUAGGCGGAUUGGUCAGUUAGGGGUGAAAUCCCAGGGCUUAACCCUGGAACUGCCUCUAAUACUGCCAGUCUUGAGUUCGGGAGAGGUGAGUGGAAUUCCUAGUGUAGAGGUGAAAUUCGUAGAUAUUAGGAAGAACACCAGUGGCGAAGGCGGCUCACUGGCCCGAUACUGACGCUGAGGUGCGAAAGCGUGGGGAGCAAACAGGAUUAGAAACCCUUGUAGUCC
rnacentral:rRNA from 1 species